GAUGAACGCUAGCGAUAGGCUUAACACAUGCAAGUCGAGGGGCAGCACAAGGUAGCUUGCUAUCUGGGUGGCGACCGGCGCACGGGUGCGUAACGCGUAUGCAACUUGCCCUAUACAGGAGGAUAACCCGUCGAAAGACGGACUAAUACUGCGUAUGCUCACAACUUGGCAUCAAGUGGUGAGGAAAGAAAUUCGGUAUAGGAUAGGCAUGCGUCCCAUUAGCUUGUUGGUGAGGUAACGGCUCACCAAGGCAACGAUGGGUAGGGGAACUGAGAGGUUUAUCCCCCACACUGGUACUGAGACACGGACCAGACUCCUACGGGAGGCAGCAGUGAGGAAUAUAGGUCAAUGGGCGCGAGCCUGAACCAGCCAAGUCGCGUGAAGGAGGACUGUCUUAUGGAUUGUAAACUUCUUUUAUACGGGAAUAACAAGAGUCACGUGUGACUCCCUGCAUGUACCGUAUGAAUAAGCAUCGGCUAACUCCGUG
rnacentral:rRNA from 1 species